GACGUAGGGCGCGAGCGUUGUCCGGAUUUAUUGGGCGUAAAGAGCUCGUAGGCGGCUUGUUGCGUCGGCUGUGAAAACCCGCGGCUUAACCGCGGGCCUGCAGUCGAUACGGGCAGACUAGAGUGCGGUAGGGGAGACUGGAAUUCCUGGUGUAGCGGUGAAAUGCGCAGAUAUCAGGAGGAACACCGGUGGCGAAGGCGGGUCUCUGGGCCGUAACUGACGCUGAGGAGCGAAAGCGUGGGGAGCGAACAGG
rnacentral:rRNA from 1 species